UACGGGGGGGGCAAGCGUUGUUCGGAAUUACUGGGCGUAAAGGGCGCGUAGGCGGUCUACUAAGUUGGAUGUGAAAACUCUGGGCUUAACCCAGAGCCUGCAUUCAAAACUGAUAGGCUGGAGUUCUGGAGGGGAUAGCGGAAUUCCUGGUGUAGCGGUGAAAUGCGUAGAUAUCAGGAGGAACACCGGUGGCGAAGGCGGCUAUCUGGACAGAAACUGACGCUGAGGCACGAAAGCCAGGGGAGCAAACGGG
rnacentral:rRNA from 1 species